UUGAAAUAAACCUGAUGGGUUGUUGCUGGUUCUCUAGGGAGCAUUGUGCACACCUAUCAUCUUUAUAUCUCCCCCUGUGCACCUUUUGUAGACCCCCCGGGGUCUAUGUUGCUUCAUUUACCCCAAUGUAUGUUAAUAGAAUGUAUGUGCCUAUGAAAUCUAUA
rnacentral:misc_RNA from 1 species